ensembl:misc_RNA Metazoa_SRP Metazoan signal recognition particle RNA
GCCGGGCGUGGUGGCUCACGCCUGUAAUCCCAGCAUUUUGGGAGGCUGAGGCAGGUGGAUCACCUGAGGUCAGGAGUUCGAGACCAGCCUGACCAACAUGGUGAAACCCCGUCUCUA